ensembl:lncRNA
CAAACUAGUCUUCUGAGCGCUUGUGGCCAGACAACUGGUGAGUUUCAUACACACAAAUUGUCUGUGUACCAGAGAGUAAUGGCUCAAGCAGAGCCACCUGAGUUUCAUAAGACCUGUUCCAAUUUGCAGUUGAUUCGAUGUUGAGGGGACCUAAUAAAGGUAGUAAAUGAGUCAUUUUCCAACAUGAUAUAACUAGAAUUGGUUCUUGGCCCAGAAAGAUGUGAGUCAGUUUAGUCCUGACUCAGUUCCCAGUCUGAUGCACAGUGACUCACUUCCCUAUGUGAUGUCAUGUUUGUUCCUUGUAAGAUGUGACCUCCUCGUUGUUUUGUUGUAUUGGGGUUGUUUUCUUUUUUUGAAAUAGAAGAAAAUGAGAAUAUUGUAGAAUAAGAUGAAAUACUCCAAGGAAUACAGAAUCAGACUAAUAAAAAAAGGCCUUGAUUUUCUCAUAGUGAGCCUGGAGGAAUAAUUAAGCUUUAAAUGCUUAUAUUGUUGUUCCCAUCUAUUAGGAUGGUUAAUUUCCAAACAGCCUAGCUAUUAGCCAACAUUUGAUUGAAAACAUUUUGCAUGUAAAAGAAGAAAAAUUGGUAUAACAACAAUCAUUUGGUAGAUAUAUUUAUAAAAGGCAGCUGCAUUUGGGAAAAAGUUAACAAUAGAUGGUCAGAUUAAAGAGGACACAUGGAUUGAUCUUUCUAGAAGGAUACAUUAAUUUAUAUACAGAAAGUAAACCCAAAAUGGAACAUUUAUUAUGAAACCCAUGAGCAUUUCAGAAUAUGUAGAAUUUUUAAAAAAUACUGCAAAGAUGGCUUUUUAUGCUUAUGUCAAUAAUGUAUGAAAUUCAGCGUGUAUGGCUUGUAUUGCAGGUCAACCGAGGCUGAGGAGAAAAGCAAUGUUUGCAUCUCAGACACUGUGUUGGUGAAAUGGAUUAACUUUGGUCUUCCCAGCCGACCAAACACUCUCAUCAUCUAUGACGAUGACUAUACCGAGAAAGUCGAAACAAUGUAUGCUCAUUAAAGGACUUUCACCCCAGCCAAAUGAGCAUGUGUUAUCGGUGAUACUACACUCUUUCCAGUGGGGGCAGACCAUCUUUUCCCCCACCCGCCUCCCCAUCACUGCAGUGAAGGAAGCCUGCCGCAAAAGAGAGUAUCCUGUGUGAUUCCAUGUACGUAAAGUACAAAAACAGGAAAAACUUAUCUAUGCUGUUGGCAGUCAGGAUACUUUUUUAAUCCUUUGGGGUGGUGGAUGGAAUGGAGCACAGAGGGAUGCUAGGGGCUGGAAAUGUCCUGGAAAUUAGUUACAAGAGUGUUGUUCAGUUUGGGAAAACUCAUUGAGCUGUACUCUUAUGGUCUGUGCAUUUCUCCAUAUAUUACUCUGAUAGAAAAUUGUUUUUUUUUUUAAAGCUACAACAUGUUUUUUUUAAAAGAUUACAUGUACUUAAAAAUUAUCAUUUUGCCUAGGAAUGUAUAUCUGGCUUGAUCUGGGGAGGCAAUCUUUCUGUCUGCUUUGACAGAAACUUCCAUCAGGAUCACUCAACAGCCUAAAAUGGAUACUUUUAGAAUCAACUCCUAAAAACUCAGCACAGACAUUCAUUAAGCGCCUGCCACAUGGGAGAGGUAGGGAGCUCCAUGUUCUGAUGAUAAGAUACAGAAGCUGCUUCUUUUGCUGAGCUGAGAGGAAAAACUGGCUUAUAAAGCAGUUGAACUGCUUGGGACUUAAUCAUAUGAAACUAGACACUUACCUUUCAGCAAAGAUGGCAGAUAACCUGGAACAUCUCUCCUUUGCUAUUUCUGUGGAGUGUGAAUUUUUUUUGAGGUCACUAACCUUGAGGAAGAUGGGCAGUGUGGGACCUGGGAAGAAGGAGAAAGGGUGGGUGGAAUAGACAGAUGCCAAAAAAAGAAGCGGAGGAAAAGGCAAGAGAGGGGAGAGAAGACAUUGCUUCUUCCAUCUGCGUCAACCAGGGUAGAUGAAGAGAUUAAAUGGAUCCAAACUGUCACUCACGACCACUGAAUAACAGAAAGAACAUCUUUUUGCUCCAAUAAAAAGUGGGAAGGAUGGCA